rnacentral:rRNA from 1 species
UACAGAGGGGGCAAGCGUUAUUCGGAAUUAUUGGGCGUAAAGGGCGCGUAGGCGGCUUUUCAAGUGACGGGUGAAAUCCCUCGGCUUAACCGAGGAACUGCCUGUCAGACUGGAAGGCUUGAGACCGGGAGAGGUGAGUGGAAUUCCCAGUGUAGCGGUGAAAUUCGUAGAUAUUAGGAAGAACACCAGUGGCGAAGGCGGCUCACUGGUCCGGUACUGACGCUGAGGUGCGAAAGCGUGGGGAGCAAACAGG